UAUCGCAUAUAAGAGAGGAAUGGUUGGAGCAUGAUUAUAUUCCGGCUAACUUUAUUAAUGUCUGACAGUUUUUCUGAACAUGACACAAAAAUCUCAUUACCACUGAAUUACACGCAACAACUAGGCAGAAAGAUGUGCUUACUAUUUCAUAUACACGAGAAAAAAGAAAUUCAGUCUUUUUAAAGAGUUUGGGUAAGUUUUAUUCGCUUAAACCCAAAUUCAAUCAUUAAUUUGCACGCCAGAAAUUUCAAUUCGGAUGGUUCACACGAAUGGUAAGUACCGUACAUAAGAUGUUCUGUUCAACUUGAACGACACAGUUAUGUAAAGAAAUAAACAGUAAAGGCAGGAGCUGUCUACGUACAAAUUGCCCCAAAACCUGCCAUUGCCGUACCACAGGACAAGAGAAAGGUCCGAGCUAAUAAUGAGUCUAAUAAUGUCAUGGCAGUUCAAUUGCUUGUCUCAUGUCAUAGUUAAAAUGGACUUCUGUCAAUAUAUUCCGAGUUAAUGUUCCUUUUAAUAAUCAUCUUCAAAAGUGAAGGAAACCUACCCUUUACAAAAAAGAAAACGCUGAAAAUUUCAUCAUAAAAGGAAAAGGGGCAGUAUGGUCUUAGUGGGUAAGAUAAGAUGGAUUGAGAAAGAUAUCUUCAACACUCUACGUGAAAUGGCGCAAA